UUUUCCAUUUCACUACAACAUUUUCCCCAGUACAUUUUAGUGGCUAUGCAGGUGGGAAAGAUUAAAGUUGUCACGAUGUGAAGAGGGCGGGUGGGGGUUGGUACCCUCCUUCUAAAUGAAAUGGCUGAAUUGAAGAAA